rnacentral:pre_miRNA from 1 species
GACGGCAUCUAACUGGCAGUUGACUGUUGAUCCGUCGUAUCGAAUCGAAUCACAGCCAAACUGUUGGUUAGGUUCAGUU